ensembl:lncRNA
AUUUUUUUAGGAUAUAUAUUAUUUAUUAUAUAAUUCCUGGAGACAGAAAUUACUGGAGGUCAGGUCAAGAGGAAUAUAUAGACUACUGUAUAUACAAAUAUAAAUGUAAAGAAAUAUAAAUGUAAAUAAUAAGUUAUUUAGUAUGUAAGUCUAUACUAUUGCUAUAUCAUGUAAUUUAGCACAGCUGCAACAAUAUAUUGAUUAAUCAUCAUCCAGGACCCAAAAUUAUCAUUCCACAUAUUAUAUGAGACAUGGCCAAAAGUAUGUAAACACCCAAACACAAUACUGGUGACCAUGAAAACCAUUUAUCUGUCCCCUUUCUGCUGUAGCUACUACUCUUCUACUAAAGGUUUUCCUUUGGAUGCUGAAACCUUGCACAGAACCAAUGCUGGAACAGAAACCGUCCCUCUAUAACUGUUGCUACAAAGCUGGAGAACGUAAAUGCAUGUCAUCACACUAGGAUUAGUGUUCACUGGAAUUAUAAGGAGCAGCCAAACCUUUAAUGUAAAUUGCACUGAAUUGCAUUGAAAAAAAAGGAACAAAACUGUUCUAACUGUAAAAGAACUCAUAUUCCUCAGUCUGUUUUGCAGUUUGGCAGUGUGUGAAAGCUUUAAUCACAGACAGUGAAUGCUGGUCCUGUUCCGUCACUGUGUGUCAAAGCAUGAAUAACUAAUUGUUCAGCGCAGUGCGUGUGGAAAAAGCCAGACAAUGUUCUCAUCCAGCUCUCCGAACACACACUCACACUGAGAGAAAGCAGUUGAAAUAAGGUCCCUAGUCAUGACUGCCAGGGAAUAUCUGCUUAAUGUUGCCAUCUGCAAACCAUCGAGAGGCAGGCGGCAUCAAACUAUGAGUGCUUGUGACGUAAAGACGAGUGAUUAUUGACCAGCUUAAAAGCUCAGAACAGUUUAAAAUGAACAUCAUCAACAUAUUAAUAGAUUUUCUAAUCUCAUGCUUGUAUCUCUGAAAGCUGUGAGCAUCGGAUGAACUGACAACAAAAGCAAACAUAUACCGCAUGAGCAGAAGACAACUAAUCUACCCAAAAACUAUGUGGACACUUAUGCUUAUAUGCCUCUGACUGUUCUGUCAAACAUCAACCUGACGGUUCCACAGAGAUCAUUUCUGAUCUUUGAAAAUGGCAGAGUGCUUCAAGUUUUAUGGGUAUACUGUCACGUCUUUGAUGUGUGAGGCUGCAGCUCAUGGUCCUUUGAAGGCAGCGGGGUGUUAGCGACCCCUGCCAUGACCCCGACCAUCUUGAGAUUAAAAAUGCCCUGAGAGCGCUAGUAAAACACAUUUGUGAGACUGCAGUGAGGGUCAGCUGGCUCCUCGCUGUGAGACUGUAAAAUCCAUCAUGAAUGGACGCAUAUCAAACUAUGCAGAAUGGACAUGUAAGACCUGAUACACGAUAAAGCAUAAUAAAUGAACAUGUACACAGCCCCAUGAUUUAUUAUGCAAAUAUACACAGCUUGUAAAUUGUAAAAGUGAGAGCAAUUGUUUUCAAUGCAUGAUUAUUAUAUUUAUUGAAAUUUAAAAACAUCUGCAAGAAACACGAAUAUAAAUAGAUAAAUAUAUGCUGUGUUGUUUCACUUCCAUCCAGGCCCAAGGGCUGCAAAAUGCAUAGUAUUUGAAAACUAAAAGCUGUAAAAGGAGGAAAAGCCACAUGUAUCGUGUUAGAACUUGCAGAGCAUUAAGAGAGAAUAAACCACAUCAAGUCUCAUAUGUCAACAGUCCACUCCUCAGAGAUGAAUGAAAGGAGGAAGCCAUAGGAACAGAGGGAAGGAGACAAUAGUUUUUAGGCACAAUGCGAACACAAUGGAUCCGAGGAACAAACUAUAAACUGAAAGAAUACAAACCUGUGGUUGAAUAUCAACAAUUUCUACAUUCUGCUUCUGGAAGGAAAAAACAAACAAACAUUUAACUCAUCAUAAAAUUUUACUCAUCACCAUUUAACAGAACUGUUUCAUUUCAUUAGUGGAGUGCUACAUGACCUGAACUAGCAAAUAUGUAGCAGCGACUCUUAUGAGCGGGACUGAGAAACACUCAUGUAUGAGCAUAAACAGCCAUUUCACUACCUUUUGAGUUAGCGCUACAGAGCAUCAUGUGGUUAGACUAGCACAUCACUAGACAUGGGAUUAAAUCAAAGCUGUAAAAGCUCACUAAUCUUCACAGAUUACACAACCUACAGCGGCCUUGUUACAACCUCAUUCAGAUCUGCUGAACUCACACAUCAGACGUGAAGCAAGCACAUUCAGAAAAAGCUACAAAGCUGUCAGUGUGGUGGUAUCAUAAGGUACAAAUGUGUACGUUAUAUACUAAUGUGGAAUUUUAAAGUACUAAUAUGUACCUUUAAGGUCCAAGUGUCAGCUUUGUACCUUUUUGUCUGAGAGUACAGGUGUAUGAAUGUGAGA